GCGAGUGGCGAACUGGUGAGUAACACGUGGGGAUCUGCCCAGAAGCAGGGGAUAACACUUGGAAACAGGUGCUAAUACCGUAUAACAACAAAAUCCGCAUGGAUUUUGUUUGAAAGGUGGCUUCGGCUAUCACUUCUGGAUGAUCCCGCGGCGUAUUAGUUAGUUGGUGAGGUAAAGGCCCACCAAGACGAUGAUACGUAGCCGACCUGAGAGGGUAAUCGGCCACAUUGGGACUGAGACACGGCCCAAACUCCUACGGGAGGCAGCAAUAGGGAAUCUUCCACAAUGGACGAAAGUCUGAUGGAGCAAUGCCGCGUGAGUGAAGAAGGGUUUCGGCUCGUAAAACUCUG
rnacentral:rRNA from 2 species